rnacentral:rRNA from 1 species
CACGCCGUAAACGAUGGAUGCUAGCUGUUAUAGGUAUCGACCCCUGUAGUAGCGAAGCUAACGCGUUAAGCAUCCCGCCUGUGGAGUACGGUCGCAAGACUAAAACAUAAAGGAAUUGAC